rnacentral:lncRNA from 1 species
GAAAAUUGUUACAAACAUUUCACAAACUCAAUAGUAUUUUUUUUUAACUUCAUUUACGUAUGUGCUGGUGGAAGUGGACUUCUCUUCCUGUGAAUGGAUGGAGGGCGAUGAAGGAGUCCUUUGGAACACAGGUUCAUUUGUGCAGGUCUGGUGCAAGGGAAAGAAACACAGCAAAGCAAGUUCUCCAGGUACCAAUGUUUUUAGAAACCUUCUAUUCUAGUGGGCUAAAAUCAACCGAGCAACUGCGUCUACUUCAGAUGAGAAAACCAUGGACAGCCUGUAAGCAGUUCCUGAUCUGCUACCCAAAAAUCUGUUCUCUGAUUGGUAAGUCUGGAAUCCAUACAAAUUUCUAAUUGUAUUAUGCCACAUUAAGCAACAAUUUAACCUGCGCUCAUUCUAACUAUCGCAGAAACACACUCUUAGUUUCUAGUAUUCACUUUUUUUUGUUGUUUUAGUUUGUCCAUAGCAAUUGUAAUGGAGGCUUCUAAACUUGUUCACAAGAAGAGGAAACAUUCCUGAACUAACUUUCUUGUCUGGCAUAAAUGCUAAGGAAUAAAUGUUCUGGUCUUCUAAUUUUUCUCACUAUUACUUUAAGGGGUAAAAAUAAAUGCAUGUCCAAAACACUUUACUGCUUGUAAAGUCCUUCUGUGUUUUAAUGUGCCUUGGUAUGACAAAAUAAGAGGAUAUCUUCAAGUUUAGUAAGUCUCCUUUUCCUGUGUACUUUAAUUUAUUUUUCACUCAUUUCAAAGUGACUGCGCGGCACUCUAUACAUUGUAAAAAAAAAAAAAAAAAAAAAAAAGGCUCUAGAAAUGCUAGUCAUGUCUAAAGUGAGAAUAAUUGGCCCUGACAGAGAGGAAAGUAGUAAUUGGAAUGAGACUUGUUUAAAUAACAGUUAAAAUUUUCUUUCCUUACUUUUCCGAUUAUAUGCGCUAUAAAGCAGGAUUUCUUUGCCUUGGGUGUUUCACAGAGUCGUUUCUGUAUCCAGCAUGCCCAGCAGUAUAACUCAACUAAUAAGCAGAGCUGUAAUUUGGAAUAGACUUUGAGUUUAGAUCCCUAACAUACAAAUACACCAUUCAAUUGGUAUUAAAACCGUAGCAUCAAAAUAUUCAGUAAGCUGAAGCAGGACAGGCUAAUUGCAUCCUCUAAUUAUUUGAAGUUGUCAUCAUUUCUUCAUUCUGAAUGGUUAAAUGGAAAUUCAGAUGCAACACUUGAGGAGGAAAAACAUGCUUAAAAGCCUGAGGUAUGAAUACACUCCCUGCUCUGUUAAACACUCUCCUCACUGUUAGUUCCCAAGGAAGAGAAAAGUUACUAUGUUUUUUUACCCCUUCCUCUGUGUGAUUUGUGUUGUUCUUAAAUAUAGCUUCACUUGCAGCUAUGCAGAACAGGUGUUUUAAAAAGGUUUGGAGUAUGUCAAGGUUUAGUACUGUAAUGAGGCUGAGAUUGUUUUCUUGAGUACAUUUGUCUCCAGCAGUAGAUGCAGCCCCCAUCAAAAAGGGUGGGGAGGUUUUUGUGGUCACAUCUGCCCCCCUUCAAAAUAUUUAUGGCAAAUAUAAAUCAAAACAUGCCUUGAAAAUCUGGGAGAACCAAUCUGGAGACAUUUGCACUGGAACAAAAUAAAAGCUUAACGUGUCCUGACUUGCAAAAUAAUAUGUGGGAAAUGUUGUAUUAAAUUGAUAUUUUCUUUCUGCAGCUCUAAGGGACAGACCAGAACAGACCAGAACUUCUAGUCUCAAGCACUAGUUGUCUUUUUGAUAACUUCAGUCGUCUCCUGAUCUUUUAGCUAAAAACUCUGAAGUGACUUAGAUCGUCUCUUUUAUCUUAAUUUAUUUACUUAUUAAUUAAAGGAAAGCAAAGUUAUGGAUGAAAUUUGACUCCAUUAAUGUGAUUUAUUAUUGACUUCAGUAACACAGAAUUUAAUUUUUUUAAAGUGGCUGGUCCAUUCUUUUGCAUAGUAGAUCCAAAACGUCUGAAAUUCAGGAUUCAGAAUUUCCUGGCUUUUUCAUGCUGCCCAAACUGUAAAACAGAGGACAGCAAUUAUAAUAGCUCACAAUUUUGAAUGUUUGGCUUCCAUUUAUGUCACUUUUACUAGAAGAAUCUGAACUCCUAAAAGACCUUUCUGCCUGUGAAAUAAAAUCAACUGGGAUUUUAUUAGAAGAGAUGACAAGAUGAGCUCAAUCUGUGUCUUCUUUUUUUUCGAUACAGGUGUCAUUUCAUCAGCUAUUAAUGAAAGUCACUUGAUUUUCUUCUAAUCUUCCCCAAGACAUUCAGCAUUUUUCUAAUGCUUUUACCUAGGAACUAUCUAUAUAUGAACAAUAGUACAAUUUGUUUGAAUAAAUGUUACCAUUAGUCAGAAUGUGGGAGUUUCACGGACAUUUCUGACUUUUAAGUAGCAAAAUGAAAAUAGAAAAAUUUUGCAGCACACCCUCCUCAAAAACCAACCAAGCAGCAAAAACAGUUUCCACAUCAUUUCAGUUUCUGUUCAUGUGUAUUGACAAAAUGCUCUACAAGAGUUUUAUUUUAUCUGCUCACAUCUUCUCUCUCGUGAAGCCUUCCUCUUCUGUUGAACUACAACUGCCACAGUCUUUUCAGUCUCACUGAGUGGCACAGCCUCUAUCCUGGGUUGCCAGUAAGGCAUGCAGUUGAUGGGGAAAGCCAACCAGCAGAGAAGUAUGAGUGCAAGAAGCUCUCAUAUUAUGAUUUCUGUGAGCCAGGCAUUCUCAAGUGAAUCUCAAACUCUUCUGUUACUUUUUCACAAGGAACAGCUCUAUGGCUGGCAGGAGUCUGGGAUUCCUCUAAAAAGUUCAAGUAAGUUUGGAAGAUGAAGAGCCUUCAUGCAUGAGGACAAAAUUGGAGCUGCAUCAGAUGUGUUUGUAUGAUUCCAGUCUAGGUCAAAUAUGCCUAGCCCUUCUGUAUGGCAGAUCAAGAGUUCAAGUAUAAAAUGACAUCGUGUUUUAAAUGGGUACUUUCAGUGUAAGCAGCAGCUGCAAGUGCAAAAAGCAAUGAUAUUGCCAUCACACCCCUAACAGUCAAAACUGUUUGGAAAUCUCAUUUGUUUUUCAUUAGUUACCGCAACAGUUUGAAUAAAAUCCUGUUCAAUCUCAGCAAAGAGUACUUUGGAAAUGUUAGUCUGUUAUUCUUUAAACAAAGUUCAACGGCUAUUAACAGAGUACUUGUUUAUGAUCUUCUAUAAAUAUUAUGUUUCUGUACUUCUUUGAAAAUGUGGACUUUUUAAUUUCAUUUUUAUUUUAGUAAAAACUGUAAAAUUAUGACUCACCAGCUGCAGAGUGCCAAGACAGGAUAUUUCCCAAUAUAUGGGGCAAACAACAUUUUUAUGUAUUUUUGUUACCAAUCAUAUAAAACCCAGCUUAUUUUUAUAAAUGGCUCCACAGGCCUGCACCAUAAAAGUUGCAUAUAAUUUUAUCCCAGUUUUCAGGGAUUUUGGUGCCCAUUACCUAGGAAAUGUAAACUCUCAUGUUCCUGAGCAAAGUUGUCGUUUUAGUGAUCAGUGAAACCCACUUGUUUUCAAGCACAAGUGGCUACCUUUCUUCUACUCAGCCAAGAUCUUAUAACCCAGACAGAAAGUUGAGCUAGACCAAAAAAAAAAAAAAGAAAAAAAGAAUGCCUGCUGCUAUGAGGUUUCAAUGCUACAAAUUAAAAGGAAGUUGCAAAAGUAGUAAGGUGCAUGUAGUGAUAUUUUUUUCUUAUUCCCUGAGUAUAUAUUCUGUUGGCAUAGUUGUACAGAUAUCACUUACCUGUAAAUAAUCCAGAAAAAAAUCACGUCUUAAAUUAAGGUAAUGAAGGGCUGAAGUUUCAUUAUAUUUUGAUGUUUGAAAAGCUUACUGUAAUAAUACCUAUAGUGGUUUACCUCCAAAACACUGAAUGUGCUUGAUCAAAAGGAUUUAUAUUGAGCUAUUUCCAUAAAUAACAUGGUGAUGCGAGUGUGUGGUUUAAUCCUCAGAUGUAUAUUUUACAAAAACUUAAACUUAUCCCUGAUGACUACAGCAAUUAAAAGCAGUAGAUUUAUAUUUAAAUGAAAAUAGAAUGACUUGUGGCACUGUUUUCACUCCUAUCUAAACCUUUAUGUGUUUUUUUAAUCAAAACUGAGAUAAAAUUAGAUGUAGUAUUAUGAUUUGUGACACACUAAUGCAUUCUGGCUUUAAUUCUCACCUUUGGUUUUAUUGUUACUUGGACUAUUGUCCAAUAACAUACCUUUAACAAAUGAUAUACCACACAGACAAAUUCAGAAGGUUCUUCCCAUCUGAUAGUUCUUGACAGAGAGCUCUAAACUGGGGGAAAAGGGUAAUAUUUGACAUUUCUUGUGUGCUGAUUUUCUUUAUAGCCAUGUCCUUUGGAUAAGAUGUGGCUUCUCAGUGGAAAUAAUGGUUUCCUAAGGAAGGAAAUCUAAGGAGAAGAUUCACUCCAUGAGGUCUUUGAGAGAUGGGGAGAUUGGUUAUCAGAAGGAAAAUUUUGUAGCACAUCUCAAUAAAACAUAUUCUUGAUUAGGCUGUGGCAAUAUAUAUAUAUAUAUUUUAAUUAAGGUAGAGCUAGAUACAUACCUCUCAUUUGAGCAAAAUGUACAUGAAACACUUUGUCAAAAAAAAAAAAAAAUAGCAGACAGUUUACUUUUGGAAAUUGGGUUUAUGUGCUUUGUUCCAACUUUUUUUUUUUCUAGGUAAUGCCAAGCAACAAUAUGAAGACCUCGAAUUUGACUUUUGUAGAAAGUAGAUGAAAGCCCUGGGAAACUUUUUUCCUCAAUUCUGUGAGCCUGAGGAUAAACAGGAAAAGUUGUAAGAGUGGUAAACAAACUUCGAGGAGUGCAGAUUAAGUAACUAAGAAGCAAAACACGAAUGUGCAGUUUAUCUUGGAAGAAAGAAAAUGGAGCAUAAGGAAUAUACCAUAUCCAUCCAGCACAGAUGCACAGAACAUACAGAACAUUCAGAACGUUUCUUCUCCUAGCUGGAAGCAGCAUUAAUGGCCUUGUACAUUUGCCUGAGAACUGGGAAUAGAAAUGUUACCAGCCCUGCUGAUAACCAUGCCCUGGUGCGCCUUCUGAAUUGGGCACACAGCCCCAGCCAGGCUCUUAAUGGAGUGAUGACACUAACGCUGCAACAAUAGAAAGGCCUCCAGGGAUGCUGGCUGCAGAGCAGAGGUGCAG